rnacentral:snoRNA from 1 species
AUUCCAUGAUGAGGGCAUCUUCGUAAUAGUUCUUUAAACCUUUCCCACACCUCGUACAAGGACUCAUCAUCUAUUUGUUGGAAGGUAGUAAUCUCAUUCCUCAACAU